rnacentral:rRNA from 1 species
CCCGCUGAAUUUAAGCAUAUUAAUAAGCGGAGGAAAAGAAACUAACAAGGAUUCCCUCAGUAACGGCGAGUGAAGCGGGAAGAGCUCAAAUUUGAAAUCUCCGAUGCCUGCAUCGGCGAGUUGUAGUUGCGAGAAGCACUUUCUAGGUGGAUCGGCGGUGCCUAAGUUGCUUGGAACAGCACGUCGCAGAGGGUGACAACCCCGUCUGUGGCGCCGCCGGCCGCUGACGAUGUGCUUUCGAAGAGUCGGGUUGUUUGGGAAUGCAGCCCAAAAUGGGUGGUAAACUCCAUCUAAAGCUAAAUAUUGGCGUGAGACCGAUAGCGAACAAGUACCGUGAGGGAAAGAUGAAAAGAACUUUGAAAAGAGAGUUAAAAAGUACGUGAAACCGUCGAAAGGGAAACGAAUGGACUCAGCAAUGCGCCCUCUGAGAUUCAGCCGGUGGGUGGGGUCGGCGCCGGGUUUGCGGAUCUGAAUGGACCGCGGCUCGGCGCUCGCUUCUCCCCCGCCGUCGCACUUCUCUGGGGCGCGCGUCAACGUGGGUUGGGACUGGGUCUGAAAGGUGCCGGGAAGGUAGGUGUGGACCUUCGGGUCCGUUCUGUUACAGCCCGGUUCUCUCAUGGCUCGGGCCCGACCGAGGAGCGACAGGGCAUGCCUCCUGUGGCUAGGGUCCCGUCCUUCCGGCCGGCUGUCCAGUGCGGUGGACUGCGUGCAGUGCUCUGCGACGGCUGCCGGUCGUUGGGGUGGUGAUCUCGUACCAUGCCCUUGGGAUGUUGGCGGUCAUAUGGGUGC